GUUUCCGUAGUGUAGUGGGCAUCACGUUUGCCUCACACGCAAAAGGUCCCCAGUUCGAAACUGGGCGGAAACA
rnacentral:tRNA from 1 species